rnacentral:rRNA from 1 species
AUUGAACGCUGGCGGCAUGCCUUACACAUGCAAGUCGAACGGCAGCACGGGAGCAAUCCUGGUGGCGAGUGGCGAACGGGUGAGUAAUAUAUCGGAACGUGCCCAGUCGUGGGGAUAACGUAGCGAAAGCUACGCUAAUACCGCAUACGAUCUAUGGAUGAAAGCGGGGGAUCGCAAGACCUCGCGCGAUUGGAGCGGCCGAUAUCAGAUUAGGUAGUUGGUGAGGUAAAGGCUCACCAAGCCGACGAUCUGUAGCUGGUCUGAGAGGACGACCAGCCACACUGGGACUGAGACACGGCCCAGACUCCUACGGAGGCAGCAGUGGGGAAUUUUUGGACAAUGGGCGCAAGCCUGAUCCAGCAAUGCCGCGUGCAGGAUGAAGGCC